rnacentral:rRNA from 1 species
UACGGAGGAGGCAAGCGUUAUCCGGAAUUAUUGGGCGUAAAGCGUCCGUAGGUGGCUAGUCAAGUCUGCGGUCAAAGACUGGGGCUUAACCCUGGAAAGGCCGUGGAAACUGACGAGCUAGAGUGCAGUAGGGGUAGAGGGAAUUCCCGGUGUAGCGGUGAAAUGCGUAGAGCUCGGGAAGAACAUCGGUGGCGAAAGCGCUCUGCUGGACUGCAACUGACACUCAGGGACGAAAGCUAGGGGAGCGAAUGGG